CUUAUCAAUAAUAUUGUGUGCGUGUCACACUCCUAGGUUUAUGUCCCGGUUUUAGUGUUGUCUGUCUGGUUAUGGGUUUUGUAAGUCUGUUCAUUCGGUGUUU